UAGUGGGUGGUCGUGUUGCUAAGACAAGACAGGACCCCGUAAAGAACGCUAGCAGCUAACAAACGUAUUUUUUCAUUAGUUAUAAUGUUAUGAAUUGAUAUCUACUUUACAAUCAAUUUACUGGGGUAUAGACGCAUGAAACCGAGGUUAGGUGUAUGAAGGGAGGACGUGGAGAGUGGUCCUGAAGAUGAGGCGUCUGUACAGGAAGAAAGCCCUGAGUCUGGUUAGGAGCUGGAUGCCUUCCCCAAGGUCCCAGAGAGCUAUGUCGAGACCACAGCCACAGGGGGGACAGUGUCCUUGAUAGCUUUACUGCCAUGGCACUGCUGGCCUUUGAGUUCUUUGUGUACCGGGACACCUGGAUGAAGUAUGAAUACGAAGUGGAUAAAGAUUUCUCAAGUAAAUUGAGAAUAAAAAUAGAUAUUACAGUUGCCAUGAAAUGCCAACAUGUGGGUGCAGACAUUCUGGACUGGCAGAG